GGUCCUGAAAAGUUCUACCAGGUAGAGCAUGGCAUUAAUGUUGCCAGGGUUAGGGGUUCAAUUCCCACUGGGACCA